rnacentral:rRNA from 1 species
GUGCCAGCCGCCGCGGUAAUACGUAGGGUGCAAGCGUUAAUCGGAAUUACUGGGCGUAAAGCGUGCGCAGGCGGUCUGAUAAGACAGUCGUGAAAUCCCCGAGCUUAACUUGGGAACUGCGAUUGUAACUGUCAGACUAGAGUGUGUCAGAGGGAGGUAGAAUUCCACGUGUAGCAGUGAAAUGCGUAGAGAUGUGGAGGAAUACCGGUGGCGAAGGCGGCCUCCUGGGAUAACACUGACGCUCAUGUACGAAAGCGUGGGGAGCAAACAGGAUUAGAUACCCUGGUAGUCCACGCCCUAAACGAUGUCUACUGGUUGUUGGGGAUUCAUUUCCUUAGUAACGAAGCUAACGCGUGAAGUAGACCGCCUGGGGAGUACGGUCGCAAGAUUAAAACUCAAAGGAAUUGACGG